rnacentral:lncRNA from 1 species
CAAAGAUCAAACACUUGAUUUACAUUCUUACUCUUUUCUUUCUUGUGUUCUUAAAGUUUUGGAGGAUCGCUCUUGUAUUUUUGUGCUAGAUCAUUUACAAGGCUUGAUAUAAUCCUACAAACCGUUUGCCAAAAAUCCUUAAUCAUCUCAAUCAGUAUCGAGAGAAGGCAAAUAUAGUUUGAAAAUAACGAUUACACAUUCGAGUCUUCGAUCUCGUUCUUAUCAAAUUUCUGGUGUUAGCUAUUUUGUUGUUGCAUUAUUGUGAUCUUAUUAUAUCCUCUACUCCAUUUCUCCUCCAUGUUUUCCAACAGUAAUAACUCAAGAAAAGAAAUCAAACUAUGUUUGGCUCAGGUUAUAAGCAACUUAUUAUUUGCCUGAUAUUUUGCUUCAAUUUUGUUUCUUGUCCUUAUCAACUAGCCUUUCUGUCAUCCCCACAGGCUACCAAGCUUUUCAUAGGAACGCAUGAUCAUGUUUUUGCUAACAGGCCACAUCACGGUGCCUCAAAAUAUAUUUGGUUACAAGAAUUUAACCUUCAGCCCUAGGCAAUUAAAUGCAUGAAUGGUUCAUCUUGGAGUUCCAAGUGUUGAGUUGUAGAACAUAAU